rnacentral:rRNA from 1 species
UUCUGGGGUCCGAGUUGUAAUUUGAAGAGGAUGCUUGGGUGCGUCCGCGGCGUAAGUCCCUUGGAACAGGGCGUCAUAGAGGGUGAGAAUCCCGUCUUGAGUCGCCGGCGCGCGCCCGUUUAAAGCUCCUUCGACGAGUCGAGUUGUUUGGGAAUGCAGCUCUAAGUGGGUGGUAAAUUUCAUCUAAAGCUAAAUAUUGGCCGGAGACCGAUAGCGAACAAGUAGAGUGAUCGAAAGGUUAAAAAGCACCCUUGAAAAGGGAGUUAAAAUAGCACGUGAAAUUUGUUGAAAGGGAAAGCGCUUGCAACCAGACUCGAGCGCGGAGGCUCAGCGGGGCAUGUUUGCCCGUGCACUCCUCCGCGCCCGGGCCAGCAUCAGUUUUGGCGGUCGGUCAAAGGCCCUCGGAAUGUGUCGUCCUCCGGGGACGUCUUAUAGCCGGGGGUGCAAUGCGGCCAGCCGGGACUGAGGAACGCGCUUCGGCACGGAUGCCUGGCAUAAUGGUUGUAAGCGGCCCGUCUUGAAACACGGACCAAGGAGUCUAACAUCCACGCGAGUGUUCGGGUGUCAAACCCGUACGCGCAGUGAAAGCGAACGGAGGUGAGAGCCCGUAUGGGUGCAUCAUCGACCGAUCCUGAAGUCUUCGGAUGGAUUUGAGUAAGAGCGUGGCUGUUGGGACCCGAAAGAUGGUGAACUAUGCCUGAAUAGGGUGAAGCCAGAGGAAACUCUGGUGGGAGGCUCGCAGCGGUUUCUGACGUGCAAAUCGAUCGUCAAAUUUGGGGAAUAGGGCGAAAGAC